rnacentral:rRNA from 1 species
ACAGCAGCCGCCGCGGGAAUACGUGGGUGGCAAGCGUUGUCCGGAAUUAUUGGGCGUAAAGGGCUCGCAGGCGGUUUCUUAAGUCUGAUGUGAAAGCCCCCGGCUCAACCGGGGAGGGUCAUUGGAAACUGGGAAACUUGAGUGCAGAAGAGGAGAGUGGAAUUCCACGUGUAGCGGUGAAAUGCGUAGAGAUGUGGAGGAACACCAGUGGCGAAGGCGACUCUCUGGUCUGUAACUGACGCUGAGGAGCGAAAGCGUGGGGAGCGAACAGGAUUAGAUACCCGGGUAGUCCCUGUCUCUUAUAC